rnacentral:rRNA from 1 species
AGUGAACGCUGGCGGUAGGCCUAACACAUGCAAGUCGAACGGCAGCACAGUAAGAGCUUGCUCUUACGGGUGGCGAGUGGCGGACGGGUGAGGAAUACAUCGGAACCUACUUUUUCGUGGGGGAUAACGUAGGGAAACUUACGCUAAUACCGCAUACGACCUACGGGUGAAAGCAGGGGAUCUUCGGACCUUGCGCGAUUGAAUGAGCCGAUGUCGGAUUAGCUAGUUGGCGGGGUAAAGGCCCACCAAGGCGACGAUCCGUAGCUGGUCUGAGAGGAUGAUCAGCCACACUGGAACUGAGACACGGUCCAGACUCCUACGGGAGGCAGCAGUGGGGAAUAUUGGACAAUGGGCGCAAGCCUGAUCCAGCCAUACCGCGUGGGUGAAGAAGGCCUUCGGGUUGUAAAGCCCUUUUGUUGGGAAAGAAAAGCAGCAGGUUAAUACCCCGCUGUUCUGACGGUACCCAAAGAAUAAGCACCGGCUAACCUCGUG